rnacentral:rRNA from 1 species
GACGAACGCUGGCGGCGUGCUUAACACAUGCAAGUCGAACGGAAAGGCUCUGCUUUUGUGGGGUGCUCGAGUGGCGAACGGGUGAGUAACACGUGAGUAACCUGCCCUUGACUUUGGGAUAACUUCAGGAAACUGGGGCUAAUACCGGAUAGGAGCUCCUGCUGCAUGGUGGGGGUUGGAAAGUUUCGGCGGUUGGGGAUGGACUCGCGGCUUAUCAGCUUGUUGGUGGGGCAGUGGCUUACCAAGGCUUUGACGGGUAGCCGGCCUGAGAGGGUGACCGGCCACAUUGGGACUGAGAUACGGCCCAGACUCCUACGGGAGGCAGCAGUGGGGAAUAUUGCACAAUGGGCGGAAGCCUGAUGCAGCAACGCCGCGUGCGGGAUGACGGCCUUCGGGUUGUAAACCGCUUUCGCCUGUGACGAAGCGUGAGUGACGGUAAUGGGUAAAGAAGCACCGGCUAACUACGUG